AGCUGAUGAGAGUCGCAGAUACCAGGUGGCUGCAACUGUUUAUUAAAAACACAGCACUGUGCAAAAUCGUAAGAUGACGUAUACGGUGUGACGCCUGCCCGGUGCCGGAAGGUUAAUUGAUGGGGUUAGCGUAAGCGAAGCUCUUGAUCGAAGCCCCGGUAAACGGCGGCCGUAACUAUAACGGUCCUAAGGUAGCGAAAUUCCUUGUCGGGUAAGUUCCGACCUGCACGAAUGGCGUAAUGAUGGCCACGCUGUCUCCACCCGAGACUCAGUGAAAUUGAAAUCGCUGUGAAGAUGCAGUGUACCCGCGGCUAGACGGAAAGACCCCGUGAACCUUUACUACAGCUUGGCACUGAACAUUGAACCUACAUGUGUAGGAUAGGUGGGAGGCUUUGAAGACGUGACGCUAGUUGCGUUGGAGCCGUCCUUGAAAUACCACCCUUGUAUGUUUGAUGUUCUAACUUAGCCCCGUUAUCCGGGGUGAGGACAGUGCCUGGUGGGUAGUUUGACUGGGGCGGUCUCCUCCCAAAGAGUAACGGAGGAGCACGAAGGUGGGCUAAUCACGGUUGGACAUCGUGAGGUUAGUGCAAUGGCAUAAGCCCGCUUAACUGCGAGAAUGACGGUUCGAGCAGGUGCGAAAGCAGGUCAUAGUGAUCCGGUGGUUCUGUAUGGAAGGGCCAUCGCUCAACGGAUAAAAGGUACUCCGGGGAUAACAGGCUGAUACCGCCCAAGAGUUCAUAUCGACGGCGGUGUUUGGCACCUCGAUGUCGGCUCAUCACAUCCUGGGGCUGAAGUCGGUCCCAAGGGUAUGGCUGUUCGCCAUUUAAAGUGGUACGCGAGCUGGGUUUAGAACGUCGUGAGACAGUUCGGUCCCUAUCUGCCGUGGGCGUUGGAAGAUUGAAGGGGGCUGCUCCUAGUACGAGAGGACCGGAGUGGACGAACCUCUGGUGUUCGGGUUGUGUCGCCAGACGCAUUGCCCGGUAGCUAAGUUCGGAAUCGAUAACCGCUGAAAGCAUCUAAGCGGGAAGCGAGCCCUGAGAUGAGUCUUCCCUGAUACUUUAAGUAUCCUAAAGGGUUGUUCGAGACUAGAACGUUGAUAGGCAGGGUGUGUAAGCGUUGUGAGGCGUUGAGCUAACCUGUACUAAUUGCCCGUGAGGCUUAACCAU
rnacentral:rRNA from 1 species